rnacentral:tRNA from 1 species
AGAUCGAUGGUGUAAAUGGCAACAUGAUGGUCUCCAAAACCAUUGCUCAGGGUUCGAGUCCCUGUCGGUCUG